GUGGGGAAUAUUGGACAAUGGGCGAAAGCCUGAUCCAGCCAUGCCGCGUGUGUGAAGAAGGUCUUCGGAUUGUAAAGCACUUUAAGUUGGGAGGAAGGGCAGUAAGUUAAUACCUUGCUGUUUUGACGUUACCGACAGAAUAAGCACCGGCUAACUUCGUGCCAGCAGCCGCGGUAAUACGAAGGGUGCAAGCGUUAAUCGGAAUUACUGGGCGUAAAGCGCGCGUAGGUGGUUUUGUAAGUUGGAGGUGAAAUCCCCGGGCUCAAACUGGGAACUGCCUCAAAAACUGCAUGACUAGAGUACGGUAGAGGGUAGUGGAAUUUCCUGUGUAGCGGUGAAAUGCGUAGAUAUAGGAAGGAACACCAGUGGCGAAGGCGACUACCUGGACUGAUACUUACACUGAGGUGCGAAAGCGUGGGUAGCAAACAGGAUUAGAAACCCUUGUAGUCC
rnacentral:rRNA from 1 species